rnacentral:rRNA from 1 species
GAUGAACGCUGGCGGCGUGCCUAAUACAUGCAAGUCGAGCGAAUGGAUUAAGAGCUGGCUCUUAUGAAGUUAGCGGCGGACGGGUGAGUAACACGUGGGUAACCUGCCCAUAAGACUGGAUAACUCCGGGAAACCGGGGCUAAUACCGGAUAACAUUUUGAACCGCAUGGAUCGAAAUUGAAAGGCGGCUUCGGCUGUCACUUAUGGCUGGACUCGCGUCGCAUUAACUAGUUGGUGAGGUAACGGCUCACCAAGGCAACGAUGCGUAGCCCAACAGGGGGGGUGAUCGGCCACGGUGGGACUGAGCCGCGGCCCAGACUCCUCCGGGAGGCAGCAGUAGGGAAUUUUCCGCAAUGGACGAAAGUCUGACGGAGCAACGCAGCGUGAGUGAUGAAGGCUUUCGGGUCGUAAAUCUCUGUUGUUAGGGAAGAACAAGUGCUAGUUGAAUAAGCUGGCACGUUGACGGUACCUAACCAGAAAGCCACGUCUAACUACGUGCCAGCAGCCGCCGUAA